GGUGGUUUGUCGCGUUGUUCGUGAAAUCUCACGGCUUAACUGUGAGCGUGCGGGCGAUACGGGCAGACUUGAGUACUGCAGGGGAGACUGGAAUUCCUGGUGUAGCGGUGGAAUGCGCAGAUAUCAGGAGGAACACCGGUGGCGAAGGCGGGUCUCUGGGCAGUAACUGACGCUGAGGAGCGAAAGCGUGGGGAGCGAACAGGAUUAGAUACCCUGGUAGUCCACGCCGUAAACGGUGGGUACUAGGUGUGGGUUUCCUUCCUUGGGAUCCGUGCCGUAGCUAACGCAUUAAGUACCCCGCCUGGGGAGUACGGCCGCAAGGCUAAAACUCAAAGAAAUUGACGGGGGCCCGCACAAGCGGCGGAGCAUGUGGAUUAAUUCGAUGCAACGCGAAGAACUUUACCUGGGUUUGACAUGCACAGGACGCCGGCAGAGAUGUCGGUUCCCUUGUGGCCUGUGUGCAGGUGGUGCAUGGCUGUCGUCAGCUCGUGUCGUGAGAUGUUGGGUUAAGUCCCGCAACGAGCGCAACCCUUGUCUCAUGUUGCCAGCGGGUAAUGCCGGGGACUCGUGAGAGACUGCCGGGGUCAACUCGGAGGAAGGUGGGGAUGACGUCAAGUCAUCAUGCCCCUUAUGUCCAGGGCUUCACACAUGCUACAAUGGCCGGUACAAAGGGCUGCGAUGCCGCGAGGUUAAGCGAAUCCUUUUAAAGCCGGUCUCAGUUCGGAUCGGGGUCUGCAACUCGACCCCGUGAAGUCGGAGUCGCUAGUA
rnacentral:rRNA from 1 species